rnacentral:rRNA from 1 species
UACGUAGGGGACGAGCGUUGUCCGGAAUUACUGGGGCGUAAAGGGCGUGCAGGCGGAUAUUUAAGUCAGCUGUUAAAGUCAUGGGCUCAACUCAUGGAUGCGGUUGAAACUGGGUAUCUAGAGUGCUGGAGAGGUAGGCGGAAUUCCCGGUGUAGCGGUGAAAUGCGUAGAUAUCGGGAAGAACACCAGUGGCGAAGGCGGCUUCCUGGUCUGUAACUGACACUGAGGCGCGAAAGCGUGGGGAGCAAACAGGAUUAGAUACCUGCGUA